rnacentral:rRNA from 1 species
AUUGAACGCUGGCGGCAGGCCUAACACAUGCAAGUCGAACGGUAGCACAGAGAGCUUGCUCUCGGGUGACGAGUGGCGGACGGGUGAGUAAUGUCUGGGAAACUGCCCGAUGGAGGGGGAUAACUACUGGAAACGGUAGCUAAUACCGCAUAACGUCGCAAGACCAAAGUGGGGGACCUUCGGGCCUCACACCAUCGGAUGUGCCCAGAUGGGAUUAGCUAGUAGGUGGGGUAAUGGCUCACCUAGGCGACGAUCCCUAGCUGGUCUGAGAGGAUGAGCAGCCACACUGGAACUGAGACACGGCCCAGACUCCUACGGGAGGCAGCAGUGGGGAAUAUUGGACAAUGGGGGGAACCCUGAUCCAGCCAUGCCGCGUGUGUGAAGAAGGCCUUAUGGUUGUAAAGCACUUUAAGCGAGGAGGAGGCUACUGAGACUAAUACUCUUGGAUAGUGGACGUUACUCGCAGAAUAAGCACCGGCUAACUCUGUGCCAGCCGCCGCAGUAA